GAACCAUCGAACCAGACGGAUCCAGCAAACCGAAACACAAUUACCUCUACAACAAUACGCGUCAACCACUCUGUAUCGACGACAUGGAAAUUCUCACUUGUGUAAUCGUCGUUGGAACCGCAGCGAGUAACCACGCCGUUAUAAUUAUCGGAUUCGAUCGAUGCACAGCUGGAGAAACAGCGUAGGAUGGCAUUGGAGAUGCCAGGAGGAUAAUAUAGAGUUGACCAAGGAAAUUCAAGGUAAUGAAUCGGGGGAUACCCGCAGAAAUGGAAUUUCAAAUAUUUCACUUCCAGCUGAGGUCGAGUAUUCCACGAUUUGUAUAGAAGCGAAGGUAGGUCUUUCAGUGUGUGCCCUCAAUGCAGAUCCUCGAUAAAAUAUUACUUAAUUGACAGUUAGUAAAAAAUUAAUCGACCACACAAUCAAUGCAUCAGUAAAUACAGAUUAUAUAACAUUUUCAGGACCUUUGAUGAUCAUACCGUUCAAGCUCCUGUAGGGAACUCAAGCUCAGUCCCCUUCUAUAACGAUUUAUUUAUUUUCUAUGUUAUUCGUAUAAUGCAUCGAAGAUAUUGCACCUAUAAAUUUUAUGGAUCCGUUGUCGCCGGUGAUUGCAUGCCUGCUCCUAUGUAUACAAUUUCCUGUGAAUACAUCGAAUAUACAUAAC